GCAGUCGAGCGGAACGAGAAUAGCUUGCUAUUCGGNGUCGAGCGGCGGACGGGUGNGUAAUGCUUGGGAAUAUGCCUUUGAGUGGGGGACAACAGUUGGAAACGACUGCUAAUACCGCAUAACGUCUACGGACCAAAGGGGGGGACGCUUCGGCACCUCUCGCUCAUUGAUUAGCCCAAGUGAGAUUAGCUAGUUGGUAAGGUAAUGGCUUACCAAGGCGACGAUCUCUAGCUGGUUUGAGAGGAUGAUCAGCCACACUGGGACUGAGACACGGCCCAGACUCCUACGGGAGGCAGCAGUGGGGAAUAUUGCACAAUGGGCGAAAGCCUGAUGCAGCCAUGCCGCGUGUGUGAAGAAGGCCUUCGGGUUGUAAAGCACUUUCAGCGAGGAGGAAAGGUUAGUAGUUAAUAACUGCUAGCUGUGACGUUACUCGCAGAAGAAGCACCGGCUAACUUCGUGCCAGCAGCCGCGGUAAUACGAGGGGUGCAAGCGUUAAUCGGAAUUACUGGGCGUAAAGCGUGCGUAGGUGGUUUGUUAAGCAAGAUGUGAAAGCCCUGGGCUCAACCUGGGAACUGUAUUUUGAACUGGCAAGCUAGAGUUUUGUAGAGGGUAGUGGAAUUUCCAGUGUAGCGGUGAAAUGCGUAGAGAUUGGAAGGAACAUCAGUGGCGAAGGCGGCUACCUGGACAAAGACUGACACUGAGGCACGAAAGCGUGGGGAGCAAACAGGAUUANAUACCCUGGUAGUCCACCCCGUAAAC
rnacentral:rRNA from 1 species